rnacentral:rRNA from 1 species
GAUGAACGCUGGCGGCGUGCCUAAUACAUGCAAGUCGAGCGAACAGACGAGGAGCUUGCUCCUCUGACGUUAGCGGCGGACGGGUGAGUAACACGUGGAUAACCUACCUAUAAGACUGGGGUAACUUCGGGAAACCGGAGCUAAUACCGGAUAAUAUAUUGAACCGCAUGGUUCAAUAGUGAAAGACGGUUUUGCUGUCACUUAUAGAUGGAUCCGCGCCGCAUUAGCUAGUUGGUAAGGUAACAGCUUACCAAGGCAACGAUGCGUAGCCGACCUGAGAGGGUGAUCGGCCACACUGGAACUGAGACACGGUCCAGACUCCUACGGGAGGCAGCAGUAGGGAAUCUUCCGCAAUGGGCGAAAGCCUGACGGAGCAACGCCGCGUGGGUGAUGAAGGUCUUCGGAUCGUAAAACUCUGUUAUUAGGGAAGAACAAAUGUGUAAGUAACUAUGCACGUCUUGACGGUACCUAAUCAGAAAGCCACGGCUAACUACGUG